AGCAGCCGCGGUAAUUUCAGCUCCAAUAGCGUAUAUUAAAGUUGUUGCAGUUAAAAAUAAAAAGCUCGUAGUUGAAUUUCGGGGUUAGCAGGUCGGUCAUGCCAUCGGUAUGAACUGGUCUCGCUGAUCCCUCCCUCUUGACGAACUGUGAUGCCAUUAAUUUGGUGUCGCAGGGAAUCAGGACUGUUACUUUGAAAAAAUUAGAGUGUUUAAAGCAGGCUCACGCUUGAAUACAUUAGCAUGGAAUAAUGAAAUAGGACGUUUGAUCCUAUUUUGUUGGCUUCUAGGAUUGACGUAAUGAUUAAUAGGGAUAGUUGGGGGCAUUAGUAUUCAAUUGUCAGAGGUGAAAUUCUUGGAUUUAUUGAAGACUAACUACUGCGAAAGCAUUUGCCAAGGAUGUUUUCAUUAAUCAAGAACGAAAGUUAGGGGAUCGAAGACGAUCAGAUACCGUCGUAGUCUUAACCAUAAACUAUGCCGACUAGGGAUCGGAUGAUGUUAAUUUUUUAAUGACUCAUUCGGUGCCUUAUG
rnacentral:rRNA from 1 species